rnacentral:tRNA from 2 species
GGGGCAUUAGCUCAGCUGGGAGAGCGCAACACUGGCAGUGUUGAGGUCAGCGGUUCGAGCCCGCUAUGCUCCACUA